CCCCAUGUCCCUCCUUCUUGGGGUUCGGCUUGCCCCUUCUCCCUCAACCCUCACGACCCUGUCCACCAAGUUCUCGACCAAAUGCCAACCUCACGACCCCGCGCCCACCACCUGCUCGACGCCGUGCCUUUCUGCAUUCUUAUUCGAUGGGCGUGGCCCCUUUCGGUCAUGGGCAACAGGUUUGCUUGCAAGAGGUUUUGACAGAAAGGCUGGAGCAUUGCAGUUGGAGAUGGGGAAUGUGGGCCUCAUUCCCAUGGUAAUGGCUAUUUGAGGGCAGGAAUGAUGGCAGUGGGAUUGCUGCCGGAUUUGAUUACAUACAGUUCUGCAUUGGAUAUUGUAAGGCAGGGAGUUUGAUUAGUGAAGAAGGCACUCUGGUUCUUCUGAGUCGUGCAGGGUUAAUCAGAAACAUUAGUUUAUAACAUUCUUGUAGACGGUCAUUACAGAUUUGGUAAAUUAGAGGGGCCUAGAUUCAUCAACGAGGAGAUACUCAGAUGCCAAAGCAGAUCAUGGUUGUGCGCCUGGUUUUUGUACAUAUACAAUUCUCAUCAAUGGGUCAUGUAAGGAUGCAGGACUGGUAACCUGAAGCAUGCCUAUCUGUUGUGGAUGAAGAUGGUCAGUGGUUGCUUAUAGCCUGACAGUGCCACAUACACUUCCAUGAUUAAUGCACAUUGUGAGAGGGGAAGCCUAAGAGAAGCAAGGAACAUCUUUGAUGGCCUCAGCGGUCACCUAUACUGUGUUUAUGACUUCAUUCACACAUACUGUAGAAGAGGUCUUUAUUCAGCAUACUGUCGAUUAAUGAAGAUGCUAGAGGCUAGAGCAAGGAGCUGCCUGAACCUUAUGAAGUAGCACAUCAUGUGCUCAGAUAUGCACUCUGCGGGAUGGGGAGAACUAGCUUGGCAUAUCAACAUUUUCAUGAGGUGAUGAAUAGGGGAUCGGUGCCAGACAAAUAGACUUACACUUGCCUGAUAGAUGGAAACUAUAAAGAAUGUAAUUGGGUGGAGGUGAUAAUAUUGUAUAGUGAAAUGCAUCAGAGAGGUAUCUGUGCAGAUUACUGCACGUAUAAUGCCUUCUUAAGGGAUCUGACGAAGCCAAGUGUACCAUGAAAUUCAGUGCUAGGAGAAUGUUGUUAUGGUUGCAUAGAUAAGUCUUGGAGAAAGAUGAUCGUAUUGGCCUUGCUUGGCACAAGUCCCUGCAAGAAAAUUAUCCUAUGUUCAGUUUUUCAAUUAGCGGAUGACAAAUGGAGCUCGAGACAUAAUUCUCUGAGCAUGCUUUCCAACCAGUUAUUGAGCGCAGACUGAUCCUCCUUCUCAUGCUUCGAAUUUCGUCAUGAUUGUUCCUUGGAUCUGCUCUCGUAUAUAUAUGUUUUCAACGAUUGUAUAUUUGGGAAUUGGUGAUCACUUUCCAUCUGACAAAAAUGCUCAUGUCUGCGGGUAGGUGAUAGAUCAAUUCUCACUAUACUAUUCCCAUGAGGCCUGUAGCGAAGCUACCCUGAAACCUGGAAAGCAACUGCAACUGCAAACCUGUAUCAUACACAGCAGGUAAGGCACUUAGAAGUUUGAAGCGCUGGUAUGAAAGCUUGCUCUCACACUGAAGGGCAGUUGGAAAGCCCGUGGCAGUGCUUGUUGAUGGCAGCACUACAGUGCUGCAAAGUAUUGAUUUCAGUUGUACAGAUGACAAUGCUGAAAGCGGCUGAUUCAUGUGCUUGUCUGCAUCUCUCAAUAUACUAUGUGCACAAAUGAGAAAUACAUUUGAGGAGCUGGAUACCUUUUCUUAAGCGAAGAAGAAAGGAUACCGCGUAUCACAGGUUCAUUGCAAAGGUUAGUGGGACUCAUCAUAAUUUAAUAGCUUCUCCUCGUUUGCCGACUGUCGCUGCGUCACCCGCAACUCAGUCAUCACCCUCGCAAACCCGCUGCUGCUCCAACACACAUGUAUAUAACUACUGCAGUGGACCUGCGAUGGGAUUAGAGAAACACAAACCAGGAAAGAAAACCAAUACUUAAACAUUAUACCUGAUACUCUUAUCUGAUCUUCAUUAGCUGGUACAGUAUUGUUUGACUAGUACUCCUCGAUGCCCUGCGGCUGACACUGAUUUUGCACAACGUGCCUAAUUAAUCGUCUUCUUGGAACUGGCACUUUGGCAGUACUAAACUAAAAAUAUGUGCAAGCGAUCAAGCAGUUGCUGGAAAGUGUCACCUGUAUCUCUGCGUAUCCAGUCACUUGAGGAAAAAGAAUCACCUCCUCCACUGCUCAAGGCAAAAUGCAGCCAUCUUUUCACACCACGGUCAGAAAGCUCGAGCAUGGCAAUUGAGAUAUGUUCCUAUGAUCUCUCAGCCUUUUUCAUCUUGUUGUCGUAUGCACGAGCCUGCAC